rnacentral:rRNA from 1 species
UGCCAGCCGCCGCGGUAAUACGGGGGGUGCAAGCGUUAAUCGGAAUUAUUGGGCGUAAAGCGCACGUAGGCGGAUUAGUUAGUCAGGGGUGAAAUCCCGGGGCCCAACCUCGGAACUGCCUUUGAUACUGCAAGUCUGGAGUCCGGAAGAGGUGGGUGGAAUUCCUAGUGUAGAGGUGAAAUUCGUAGAUAUUAGGAAGAACACCGGUGGCGAAGGCGGCCCACUGGUCCGGUACUGACGCUGAGGUGCGAAAGCGUGGGGAGCAAACAGGAUUAGAUA